rnacentral:rRNA from 1 species
GUCCCUAUCUGCCGUGGGCGCUGGAGAAUUGAGGGGGGCUGCUCCUAGUACGAGAGGACCGGAGUGGACGCAUCACUGGUGUUCGGGUUGUCAUGCCAAUGGCAUUGCCCGGUAGCUAAAUGCGGAAAAGAUAAGUGCUGAAAGCAUCUAAGCACGAAACUUGCCCCGAGAUGAGUUCUCCCUGAGACUUUAAGUCUCCUGAAGGAACGUUAAAGACUAUGACGUUGAUAGGUCGGGUGUGUAAGUGUAGCGAUACAUUGAGCUAACCGAUACUAAUGAACCGUGAGGCUUAACCUU